rnacentral:snRNA from 1 species
GGAUGUAAAGGUAAUCUGGCUAUGGCAUCUAUCACCAUUAAUAUGGCUUUUUAUUUAAUAAUAUAUUUAUAUAAUAUAAUAUAAUUGUAUUAUAUUAUAUAAAUAUAUUAUAAUAUAUUGAUUAAUUCGGCUGAUGUAGCUGACUAGGUGAGUGUCCUCUUCUGUCCUUACUCCUCCAUGUGUGUCCCUUCCAAAGCUGAGUUCUUGAUGGAUGUAUGUCCUUGCCUGAUGGAGGCCUGCUGUUCUUUGGUCAAGACUUAUAUGAGUAGCUGCUCUUCUCUACUGGAACAAGCUCUCAAGGUCUUAUUUCUUAUGUACCUUCAGGAUCAUUUUAUGUGUAAGGCAGAGCAGGUAGAAGCUUACAUGGG